ensembl:lncRNA
CUUUUUACUGGAUAUUUUCAUAAACCUGAAAUUAUAGCUUUCUUGAUGUUCUGGAACACAUUGGCUUUUCUUCAGUGUGGGCUUUUUGGUAGUCUUCAAAUGAAAUAAGGAAAUAGCACUGCCAAAAGUACUGCCAAAAUAUUUCUUCUUCAAAUUAUCUUAAAAUAUAAAAAGCCCUAGGAAAAGCUGAUAAGAAGCUGCUGGAAUCCUCAUGGGAAAAAUGUAUUUAUACCAGAGGAAUGGUACAGUUAUGGAUCUACUGAAACAGUAACAAAUCCUAUUGACUUGCGGUUGAAGCAGGCCCAACUGUUAAGGAAGAAGCAUGAUUGAUUGCCUUCAGGAGUGACUCAGAACAGUGCACCAGACUGCUCUACAUGCUAGAAUAUUAGAGAUGCCAUUUGGACUUUCAAUGUAUUACUGAUCAAGCACUUCAUCCCUAAACCAUUGCUGAUAGAUGGCUAAUUCUGCUGCUUUUUUCUACAUGAUCUAAAUGCAUCACGAAGAGGUCAUGGUCUUCUCUUUGCCCUCCCCAGACUGAGGGACAGCAAGUAUGAUGGAGCAGUCCAGUCCAGCUAAUCAGUGUUAUGAAGGACUAUUACUGCAUUUGGAAAUGGUGAAAGGAAAGAGGUUCUUCAAUCAGUAUGUCUUUUUUUCACAUCAACGUGGCACUUAACAAACAUAUUAGAGAACUGCUUCAUAGUUCAGUGUCAGCAGGGAUCAGUUGUGGAGAGGCCUGCAGCAUAUUUGGAAAUCAGCCAUCAAGAGUUGGCGUCAAUAUUGGCACGAAGAAGUUGCACAGAUAGCAAAGGAAUUUCAGGCUCAGUUACAACGGCCAUUGAUAAAGUACACUGGGGCUGGAACAGUGAACGUACUCACCAGUCUGCAGGUGCCUUCAAGCAGAAGAAAACCAAAAAGCAAGUACUUAAUCGCAACAAACGGAGAUUCCUCAGCCAUCUUCUCUUUCUCAGAAGCAAAAGGAAGAAAAACAGAAAGAGAAGUUCUAUUCAACCUGCAUGUACUGUUAAAUUGCAUUGCAAGACUGGAGUACUGAUCCUCAGGCAUGGCUCAUCCUACCUAGCUGGCUCCUAAAGAAGAAUCUAAUUCUGCAAUUAUAAGCCAAAACUCGUUGGAAUUGGACAGGAGGAAAACAAACUCAGCUGAUCCUUUUCCGGGGUGGAAGGAAGAAAGGAGGAAAAACUACUGCAGUUCCUAAGGGAGCAGAAGCAACUGUUUAUGGAUGGAACUGAACUGAAGGCCAAAAGAGUGCAUAAACGAUGGUGAAGCUGAAGACAUGUGAGUGCUGGAUUGAUCUGGGGGUUGAAGGAUGAGUAAUAACUUCCUAAGCCGAGGAGAAUGAGUAGACAGAUGACUGGGU